AGCUUAAUAGUUUAUUACAAAAAUAGUUGUAUGUGGGUCAACAGAAGAAGAAGCUUAAUUUAUUUUUGUUU
rnacentral:tRNA from 1 species